AGUGAACGCUGGCGGUAGGCCUAACACAUGCAAGUCGAACGGCAGCACAGUAAGAGCUUGCUCUUACGGGUGGCGAGUGGCGGACGGGUGAGGAAUACAUCGGAAUCUACUUUUUCGUGGGGGAUAACGUAGGGAAACUUACGCUAAUACCGCAUACGACCUACGGGUGAAAGCAGGGGAUCUUCGGACCUUGCGCGAUUGAAUGAGCCGAUGUCGGAUUAGCUAGUUGGCGGGGUAAAGGCCCACCAAGGCGACGAUCCGUAGCUGGUCUGAGAGGAUGAUCAGCCACACUGGAACUGAGACACGGUCCAGACUCCUACGGGAGGCAGCAGGGGGGAAUAUUGGACAAUGGGCGCAAGCCUGAUCCAGCCAUACCGCGUGGGUGAAGAAGGCCUUCGGGUUGUAAAGCCCUUUUGUUGGGAAAGAAAAGCAGCAGGUUAAUACCCCGCUGUCCUGACGGUACCCAAAGAAUAAGCACCGGCUAACUUCGUG
rnacentral:rRNA from 1 species